rnacentral:tRNA from 1 species
AGGGCUAUAGCCAAACGGUAAGGCAGCGGACUCUGACUCCGUCAUUUCAAGGUUCGAAUCCUUGUAGCCCUG